rnacentral:lncRNA from 1 species
GCAAUUCUAACAAGCGUGUUGUAGUGACUCUGGCUAUAACGUUAAUGUAGUUCCUGAAUGCUUCCUCUAAUCUUCUCCCUUAACCUGCGGACAGAUCCUUUUUGUAUUCGGGCCUUUGUUUUUGCAUUUGACUGAAAACAUCGUUGAUAUGGUAUUUCUUUUGCAUUUAUUUUCUUAUAUGAUAACUUCCCUAGCUUCUAUUGGUUGACUACAAGAGGUUCUUUUGGUUGAACUAGGACUCGUACAACUCACUUUGCAGGUAUGGCCUAUGUGUUUGGCUCCCGAGUAUAGGGAAACUCCUUCCAACUUCCAAGUAAGUUGUUAAUUUUGCCCCACUCUUUAGCCCUUUGCUCUAAUUUCCUAGAAAUUAUUUUUUCUUUCAAGUCAAUGGCUGUAAAUGUUUCCUCCUUCCGUCCCUUAAUAUUAAGUCGUUUUAGAGAAAUGUUUUUGUGUCUUAAUGUUUGUAAUUUGUGAAUUUCAAGUAAGCAUUAAUUGCUUUGUUUCUAAUAUUACCCUAAGUACUAAAUAUAACUUUGGUUCUCGCACUAUUUUCUGUCCAAUAAAUAACACUCUUUUUUCAAUUCAAGGACAAUAUAGACAAUUGAUAUUAUAUUUAAUGAUAUACAAUCAUUUCCUUAAUAUUUGUCCACAACUCUAAAACGACUUAUAUUAAGGUACGGAGGGACUAUCAUUAUUCAUUUCUUUGGACUUUUAGACUGUUGGAUUGUUAAUAAGGUGGUCAAUUUAUAUAAAUUUCCACAAAGAGUGCUUUGUCUUGCUAUAUGAUCUACAAAUUGACUACUGUGCAUUGUCUAAUUAAUUAUGACCCCAAAAAAUAAUGUAGGAAGUAUGGAACCCUGAUGAUCAUAGUGGAUGAAUGGCUGGCAUUGAUGGAAG